rnacentral:lncRNA from 1 species
UCAUAAGAGCAAUGAAGUGCUAGUCAAAAAACUUAGGACUCGCCUUGCUAGUCUAUUUGAGUUGGUAGUUCGACCGUGAAAUUUCUUUGUUUCGGUAUUUGCGGAAUAUGAGUGUGUGACUUGUUAUAAUUGAUCCUAUUGAUAUACAGAAAAUGGAUCUGUCAUCUUGAUAAAGAUGAUUCUACCUCGUCGGAUAUUUAUAUUUAUUCUAGUUUCCGGAGCACGGAAUAUAUUUAAUAGAUCAAGAAAAGAAAUAUUUGAACUAUGAUUCAUACCCUACUAUUCAAACCUCGUAACCGGACUCUAAAAAAAUUUCAAAAGGCUAUUCUAUUUCCUAAAUCAAACCAUUUUUCUUCUUUGAGAACUAUGUGUUUUGACGGAAGUACAACUAUUUCUCUGGAUUUUGUUGAGUCAUUACAUCUUUUUCAUUAAAUAAAUGAUGAUCAAAUGGUUCUUACUCAGAGAACUUUUGAGCUUUGUUUUUGAACUUAUUGAUAAAUCAUCGUGGUUCUAGUAUGAAUCUGAGGUUUCAAUUGAUUUAUAGGGUCUCAACAAGAGAAUCCCUAUUCAGAAGUAAAACAAUAGUCAAUUUUUUGAUUACGCAAAAAACUCAAAUUAAAAUACUAAAUAGGGAAAAAGAAGAUUCAAGAGGCCUGUAAUAAUCAAUAUAAAAAAGAAAGACGGAUGAGCUAACUUGAUAUUUUUUGGCAUUAUCAUCACAAAGAACAGAUUACGGAUUUUUAUUUUUUGGGGGUAGAUUGAAUCUAUUGGCUAAGAAGUUUAAAUUUUCGAUUACAUAUCCGUUAAAAGAGUAUUUGUAUGUUUUUGCUUGAGCCGUAUGAGAUGAAAUUCUCAUAUACGGUUCUCAGUAGGGGGAGUUACCUUGGUUUACCUAUCUCAAUAAAGUCUAUGACUGGUUCGAAGAGCGUCUCGAGAUUCAGGCGAUUGCAGAUGAUAUAACUAGUAAAUAUGUUCCUCCUCACGUCAACAUAUUUUAUUGUCUAGGGGGGAUCACACUUACUUGUUUUUUAGUACAAGUAGCUACGGGUUUUGCUAUGACUUUUUACUAUCGACCAACUGUUACAGAGGCCUUUGCCUCUGUUCAAUACAUAAUGACUGAGGCGAACUUUGGUUGGUUAAUCCGAUCAGUUCAUCGAUGGUCAGCAAGUAUGAUGGUUCUAAUGAUGAUUUUACACGUAUUUCGUGUGUAUCUGACAGGCGGAUUUAAAAAACCUCGCGAAUUAACUUGGGUUACCGGUGUAGUUCUGGGUGUAUUGACUGCAUCUUUCGGUGUAACUGGUUAUUCCUUACCUUGGGACCAAAUUGGUUAUUGGGCAGUUAAAAUUGUGACAGGCGUACCUGAUGCCAUUCCGGUAAUAGGAUCACCCUUAGUAGAGUUAUUACGAGGAACUGCUAGUGUGGGUCAAUCCACUUUGACUCGUUUUUAUAGUUUACACACUUUUGUAUUACCUCUCCUUACUGCCGUAUUUAUGUUAAUGCACUUCUUAAUCAUACGUAAGCAA